rnacentral:lncRNA from 1 species
GACCAGCCUGGGCAGCACAGAGAGAUUACCAAUAAUUUGAUAUAAAAGCUUACAAUGCAAUUCAGAUUUUGUCUUCACACCACAUCCUAAUGAUUUUAAAGACUCUUACUUCUAAGAAAAAAGAAUACAGUUAGUGCCAGUUAUAGGAAUCAAAUGAGACAAUACAUUUGUGAAUGCUAUGUUUAAAAAGCAGAUUACAAGACAGUCUUCUUUUUGGCUGGAUUCAACAUCAUAGUCACGAGCUUAACAGUUCUUGUAUCUUACACCUUCAUUCUCUCCAGCAUCCUCGGCAUCAGCACCACAGAGGGUAGAUCCAAAAUGUUUCCUAUCUUAAUUGUAAUUUAACUUAAAUGCUAAACUUUCAACAUUGAGUUGUAGGGUCAUUCAUGGCCUUAUUAUCUUCUAUAUAGAAAAUAUUACUCAGCCCAAUUUUUUUCUUUUUUUUUUUCUUUUUGGUGACAGAGUCUCACUCUGUUGCCCAGGCUGGAGUACAGUGGCACGAUUCCACAGUGGCUGUGCCAUUAUAUAAUGCAUUCCAAUUUCUCCACAUCCUCAGCAACAAUUGUCCACCUUUUUAUUAUAGUUAUCCUACUGGAUGUAAAGUGUCAUCUCAUUGUAGGUUUAAUUUGUGAUCCUUGAUGGCUAAUGAUGUUGAGCACCUUUCCAUGUGCUUGUUGGCCAUUUAUAUAUUUUCUUUG